rnacentral:rRNA from 1 species
AUGGAUUUAAACCCCCAAAUUUUGUGUUGGAAUGUGCGGGGCUUAAACAACCCGGCUAAGCGUUCGGCGGUUAGGGAGUUUGUGCAGCCCGCCAAAGUUAAUUUGGUUUGCCUGCAGGAGACGAAGCUGGAUACUUUGAACCACUUUGAUGUUAUGCAAUGUUUAGGUCCGUCUUUUGACGGCUUUGAUUACUUGCCGGCGUGCGAGACUCGGGGUGGGAUCCUGUUGGCUUGGGACUCCACGGUGAUGGGCAUCGAUAGUUUUGUGCAUGACACGUAUUGUUUGUCCAGAUUGGUGCACAAUAAGGAUGGGACCAACUGGUGGAUCACGGUGGUCUAUGCCCGCAAGGAGAUGAACUCAAGCUUGAGUUUUUGGAGGAGCUGA